rnacentral:rRNA from 1 species
GACGAACGCUGGCGGCGUGCUUAACACAUGCAAGUCGAACGAUGAAGCCGGAGCUUGCUCUGGUGAAUUAGUGGCGCACGGGUGAGUAACACGUGAGUAACCUGCCCUUGACUCUGGGAUAACUGCCAGAAAUGGUAGCUAAUACCGGAUACGACCCUCGGAGGCAUCUCCAGGGGGUGGAAAGAAUUUCGGUCAAGGAUGGACUCGCGGCCGAUCAGCUAGUUGGUGAGGUAAUGGCUCACCAAGGCGACGACGGGUAGCCGGCCUGAGAGGGUGACCGGCCACACUGGGACUGAGACACGGCCCAGACUCCUACGGGAGGCAGCAGUGGGGAAUAUUGCACAAUGGGCGCAAGCCUGAUGCAGCAACGCCGCGUGAGGGAUGACGGCCUUCGGGUUGUAAACCUCUUUUAGUAGGGAAGAAGCGAAAGUGACGGUACCUGCAGAAAAAGCACCGGCUAACUACGUGCCAGCCGCCGCAGUAA